rnacentral:rRNA from 1 species
GAUGAACGCUGGCGGCGUGCUUAACACAUGCAAGUCGAACGAUUAAAGCCCCUUCGGGGGUGUAUAGAGUGGCGAACGGGUGAGUAACACGUGGGCAACCUGCCCUGCGCUUCGGGAUAACUCACGGAAACGUGAGCUAAUACCGGAUACUCCGGUCUGACCGCAUGGUCGGAUCGGGAAAGUUCCGGCGGCGCAGGAUGGGCCCGCGGCCCAUUAGCUAGUUGGUGAGGUAAUGGCCCACCAAGGCGACGAUGGGUAGCCGAGCUGAGAGGCUGAUCGGCCACACUGGGACUGAGACACGGCCCAAACUCCUACGGGAGGCAGCAGUGGGGAAUUUUGCGCAAUGGGCGAAAGCCUGACGCAGCAACGCCGCGUGCGGGAUGAAGGCCUUCGGGUUGUAAACCGCUUUCAGCAGGGAUGAAACUGACAGUACCUGCAGAAGAAGCCCCGGCUAACUACGUGCCAGCAGCCGCCGCGG